GAAGGACGUGCUAAUCUGCGAUAAGCGUCGGUAAGGUGAUAUGAACCGUUAUAACCGGCGAUUUCCGAAUGGGGAAACCCAGUGUGUUUCGACACACUAUCAUUAACUGAAUCCAUAGGUUAAUGAGGCGAACCGGGGGAACUGAAACAUCUAAGUACCCCGAGGAAAAGAAAUCAACCGAGAUUCCCCCAGUAGCGGCGAGCGAACGGGGAGCAGCCCAGAGCCUGAAUCAGUAUGUGUGUUAGUGGAAGCGUCUGGAAAGGCGCGCGAUACAGGGUGACAGCCCCGUACACAAAAAUGCACAUGCUGUGAGCUCGAUGAGUAGGGCGGGACACGUGGUAUCCUGUCUGAAUAUGGGGGGACCAUCCUCCAAGGCUAAAUACUCCUGACUGACCGAUAGUGAACCAGUACCGUGAGGGAAAGGCGAAAAGAACCCCGGCGAGGGGAGUGAAAAAGAACCUGAAACCGUGUACGUACAAGCAGUGGGAGCACGCUUAGGCGUGUGACUGCGUACCUUUUGUAUAAUGGGUCAGCGACUUAUAUUCUGUAGCAAGGUUAACCGAAUAGGGGAGCCGAAGGGAAACCGAGUCUUAACUGGGCGUUAAGUUGCAGGGUAUAGACCCGAAACCCGGUGAUCUAGCCAUGGGCAGGUUGAAGGUUGGGUAACACUAACUGGAGGACCGAACCGACUAAUGUUGAAAAAUUAGCGGAUGACUUGUGGCUGGGGGUGAAAGGCCAAUCAAACCGGGAGAUAGCUGGUUCUCCCCGAAAGCUAUUUAGGUAGCGCCUCGUGAAUUCAUCUCCGGGGGUAGAGCACUGUUUCGGCAAGGGGGUCAUCCCGACUUACCAACCCGAUGCAAACUGCGAAUACCGGAGAAUGUUAUCACGGGAGACACACGGCGGGUGCUAACGUCCGUCGUGAAGAGGGAAACAACCCAGACCGCCAGCUAAGGUCCCAAAGUCAUGGUUAAGUGGGAAACGAUGUGGGAAGGCCCAGACAGCCAGGAUGUUGGCUUAGAAGCAGCCAUCAUUUAAAGAAAGCGUAAUAGCUCACUGGUCGAGUCGGCCUGCGCGGAAGAUGUAACGGGGCUAAACCAUGCACCGAAGCUGCGGCAGCGACGCUGAUGCGUUGUUGGGUAGGGGAGCGUUCUGUAAGCCUGCGAAGGUGUGCUGUGAGGCAUGCUGGAGGUAUCAGAAGUGCGAAUGCUGACAUAAGUAACGAUAAAGCGGGUGAAAAGCCCGCUCGCCGGAAGACCAAGGGUUCCUGUCCAACGUUAAUCGGGGCAGGGUGAGUCGACCCCUAAGGCGAGGCCGAAAGGCGUAGUCGAUGGGAAACAGGUUAAUAUUCCUGUACUUGGUGUUACUGCGAAGGGGGGACGGAGAAGGCUAUGUUGGCCGGGCGACGGUUGUCCCGGUUUAAGCGUGUAGGCUGGUUUUCCAGGCAAAUCCGGAAAAUCAAGGCUGAGGCGUGAUGACGAGGCACU
rnacentral:rRNA from 1 species